UACGAGGGGGGCGAGCGUUGUUCGGAAUUAUUGGGCGUAAAGGGUGCGUAGGCGGUUUGGUAAGUCUUGUGUGAAAUCUACAGGCUCAACUUGUAGUCUGCACGAGAAACUGCCGGGCUUGAGUGUGGGAGAGGUGAGUGGAAUUCCUGGUGUAGCGGUGAAAUGCGCAGAUAUCGGGAAGAACACCCGUGGCGAAGGCGGUUCUCUGGGACGGUACUGACGCUGAGACGCGAAAGCGUGGGGAGCGAACAGG
rnacentral:rRNA from 1 species